AGAAUAACAUUAGAUCAACAGUAAAGGCAUUUCGAAGAUUAUUUACAAAUUUAAUUUUUGAUCACUGUUCUGUUUUCUGUUCUGGCUGGGCAUUUGAUGUCAGACUUGCUUUCAAAGAUUACUCUACAUGCUAGCUAAAUCGUCAUUCCAUUUUCAAGAUCCGACUAGAGCGGAGCUUCUCGAUUAGUUUAAAAACCAAAAUUUCCUUGAAAAUGAACACUCUGGCUCCCGUAUUCUACAACGCGGAGUCCGUGCGACGCGUCCUCAACUGGCCAAUGGUGAACGAGGCUGUCGAGGCUGCUCUCAAAGCAGUCGUCAAGCCGAAGGCCCCUGUCGGAGAUGAGCCAAUGGAUGCGAUCGGCAGCGAGCCGCAGUCGAAUGAGAGCCGCGACAGGUCCUACGUAAGUCAGCCAGCGCGCAACGUCACCGUGGCCAGCAAUGAUCCCAGCAAGCUGCUGCUGACCAUGCCAGCCUUUGUGGGCAACUAUCAGCUGACUGGCGACGGCGCUGGCGGGGAUGCAUCCAACGUUGCCCGCUCGACGCUGGCCUGCAAGGUGGUCACAUCGUUCCGAUCGAACCGGCUGCUGCAGCCGCCGCUGCCGAGCAUCAACGCCAACAUUCUGCUCUUCAAUGCGCACACAGGCGAGCUGGAGGCUCUGAUGGCCGGCACAGACAUCACCACUUGGCGCACCGUGUCCGCCUCGCUGGUGGCCACCAAAUACCUGUACUUCCGUCGCUUCGGGCCCCGCGCUGAGCAACAGCUGGGCAUCAACGUGGCCGUCGUCGGCUGCGGCGCCCAGGGCCAGCUGCACGCCGCCGCCAUGUGCGCCAACUUCAGGGUGGACAAGCUAACCCUCUACAACCGCACCCAAAUCCGGGCCGUGCAGCUGGCCAACGAGCUGCGCCAGCGCAUGGCCCACGACAGCGACAGCUGCUACGGCCCAAAGUUGCCCGACAUCAAGGUCUGCGGCUCAGCCGGCGAGGCCGUCGCCGAAGCCGACGUCAUCUGCAUCGCCACCUACGCCAAGGAGCCGCUGAUCCGUGCCAGCGAUCUGCGCAAGAAACGCUCCGUCCACAUCAACGCUGUGGGCGCUGGCGAGGUGCACUUUGGCGAGGUGUCCGACGAUAUCUAUCAGGAAUCUCUGGUCUAUGUGGACUGCAUGGAGAAUGCCAGGCACGAGCUGGUCGGUCUGCCAGCGCCCAUAGCCGGCGAGGUGGGCGACGUUAUAAUCAAUGGCAACUAUCCGGAUGAGCAGGCUCUAACCAUAUUCCAAUCGAUGGGCAUGGCCUCCGAGGAUGCCUGUGUGGCCGAGGCUGUGCAGACGGCGCUGUUGUCCUGCGACAAGUAAGUGGAAGGAAGGAAGAAAGGAAGGAGAGAGAAUUCGCAGUGAAAGGCGUUAAAGGAUGUGACAGGUGUGGACAGGACGUGGCAAUCUGGAGGCUAACAAUCUAAAAUAGUUAAUACAUCUGCUCAACCGCUUGCCCCGCCCUCUGCCCACUUCGAGGGGGAGGGCCCCUCGCACAUUUUGCACACAUCAUCAUCAUCAUCAUCAUGAUCAUGCGAUUUCCAUUUAUAUAUAUAAUUCAAGUAUUUGUUUUUGUUUUCGUUAUCUUGUUAUCAUAGAUGCUGUUCGCCCGUAGAAACGUGGCCUAGAACCCAGUGGGAAGUGUUUAUCAUGUUUUAUUUUUUUUUUUCUCUUUUGUUGGUUUUUUUUUUUAAAUUGGCUUUUGGGUCCCAGUCUAAGCCCUUUUUGCAAGCCGCAUGCUCUUUGUUUCCCACUUUGCUUGAAAUAAUUUUUUAGCAUAA
rnacentral:misc_RNA from 1 species